rnacentral:misc_RNA from 1 species
AACUUUUGGCAACGGAUCACUUGGCUCUCGCAUCGAUGAAGAACGCAGCGAAAUGCAAUAAGUAAUGUGAAUUGCAGAAUUCAGUGAAUCAUCGAAUCUUUGAACGCAUCUUGCGCUCCUUGGUAUUCCGAGGAGCAUGCCUGUUUGAGUGUCAUUCAACUUCUCAACCACAUUCGUUCAUUGAUUGUGGCUUGGAUGGUGGGGGUUUAUUUGCAGGCUUCUUCUGUGAAAACAGAAAGGUCGGCUCCCCUGAAAUGUAUCAGUGGUAUCUGAGGCUAUUGCUAUAGGUGUGAUAAUUAUCUAUGCCCUUGGUAUGCCGCAUGGAACUGCUUCCAACAGAGAUGAUCUUUUUGAUGAAUUUGACCUCAAAUCAGGUAGGACUACCCGCUGAACUUAAGCAUAUCAAUAAGCGGAGGCU